GUGAGGAAUUUUCCGCAAUGGGCGAAAGCCUGACGGAGCAAUGCCGCGUGAAGGAUGAAGGCCUAUAGGUUGUAAACUUCUUUUCUCAGAAAAGAAUUAUGACGGUAUCUGAGGAAUAAGCAUCGGCUAACUCUGUGCCAGCAGCCGCGGUAAGACAGAGGAUGCAAGCGUUAUCCGGAAUGAUUGGGCGUAAAGCGUCUGUAGGUUGUUUAAAAAGUAUUCUGUCAAAGAUUAGGGCUUAACCCUAGAUAGGCAGAAUAAACUUUUAAGCUAGAGUUUGGUAGAGGCAGAGGGAAUUCCCGGUGGAGCGGUGAAAUGCGUAGAUAUCGGGAGGAACACCAAAGGCGAAGGCACUCUGCUGGGCCAAUACUAACACUGAGAGACGAAAGCGAGGGGAGCAAAUGGGAUUAGAAACCCUUGUAGUCC
rnacentral:rRNA from 1 species